GUUGGGCUUCAGCUGGGCAUGGGCUCAGAGUGGGCUUUUGUUGUUGGGCCCCACAUGGGCAGUAGAUUGGCUAAAGGGCUCCAUUCAAAAUUGAUUGUGUCAGACAUGGAUGCUAUUUUUAACAAUAUAGGCUCUGGGCUAGGUCCACUUUUUAUACAAAUUUUAUUAAUUAGUUGCUGUCUGUAACUUUUUUUUGUGUUUUAAGAUUUACAAAAAAUAUAUAAUGAGAAUGUACAACACUCAUUUUCAGUCCAUCCAUCCAACAAUCAUUUUCCUAACCGUGUUUUUGUCUUAUCCCGAAUCAUUAUACAUUUAUAAUAAGUGUUUAUAUUGGGACUAUUUCAGGACGGUCAAGUAGGAAUCGCUGUGGAGGAGCAAGUCCCUGCGUGAUUCGUCAUACAUAAACAGGAGAAGUAGCUCCGGCUGCAGUGUUCUUCCGCAAGACGAAUUCUGUUUAUUAACUAUUUUUUGAGAACUGCAACUAAACAGUUGUCUUAAUAACGUUAUACAAGUUUCAAAAGACAAGUUUGUACGGUUUCCCCACAAAAUGUUCAAACCGUAAGCAGUGCGCACUCUGUGCAGCGCACAUCUUGAAAGCUCCACCCCCAUCACCGAGCGAAAUCUGCCCAGCAACAACUUUGCCGCCUUUUCAGUAUGCUGCUGUCCCUUAAGGAGUUCAGAAGUGUCGUCGUGUGGACAGAAGGCAGAAAUAAUGGAGUGUUCAGAAAGAACUAAAAGAAGGAAAAUAUCAGCAAAAGUGGAGGAACAUUUGCGUCUCCUUGAAAAGGAGUCUGAUAUGAUUGAUGAUUUGUUGGCACAUGAUUCUGAAAAGGAAUACCCACUGGAUGAUUUAGAACAUACUGAAAGAGAAGAUUCCACGGACACUUUCUACGAUGCUUCUGAUCAGAACUGCUUUGAGAAUACAUCAAAUGAUUUAGAAGAUGAAAAUUCUUCAGAUAUUUUUUAUGAUUGUAACAUUUCCUCAUUCGAUGAUUUGGAUUCUGAAAACUGGGUGCCUGGUUGUGAUAGUGACUGUGAUUUGCAUGGAGAUGAAUGUUCUGAUUUGGAAGAUUAUGAUGAUGAUGAUUCACAUGGGCUUGCAGAGUGGGCUGCAGAAUUCAACAUACCACAAACAGCGCUGUCUGCCCUUCUUAAAAUUCUAAGGAAGAAGGGCCUUGAUAUCCCAAUGGAUGGCAGAACUCUUAUGUCUACUGACAGAUCUUGCAAUGUGGCGAAUAUGGCUGGGGGGUCCUACUACCACUUUGGAAUUGAAAAUGCUCUCAUAGCUGAACUAACAUCUUUAGGACAUUUAGCGAAUGUGACUGAUACUCUCACACUUCGAAUUAACAUUGAUGGAUUGCCCUUAUUCCGUAGCUCUAGUAAGAGUCUGUGGCCUAUUCUGGGUAGGAUUAAGGAAAUUCCAGGGUGUAGUGUGUUUGUAAUUGGAGUGUACUCGGGUGCGUCCAAACCCGCAAAUGUUCAAGAAUAUUUACAAGAAUUCAUUGUAGAUAUGAAAGCCGUUUCUCAGAGUGGUAUUGUGUACAAUGGUGUACAUUUCAGGGUGCCAUUACCAGAUGCUUUUAUUUGUGAUGCACCUGCUCGUGCCUUUCUUAAAUGCACAAAAGGACAUACAGGCUAUUAUGGGUGUGAGAGGUGCAAUCAAAAAGGCCAGUACAUUAAUGGGAAGGUGGUUUAUCCUGAAAUAUCAGCAGAGGUCAGGACAGAUGAGCAAUUUGGUAGGCAAGGCUAUCAACAGCACCAACUGUCAGCAUCCCCCCUAAAUGAUCUGGGUAUAGGUUUAGUUACCAGUUUUGUGUUAGAUUAUAUGCACCUUGUGUGCUUGGGGGCAAUGCGCAAAUUAAUAUUUCUAUGGUUGAAAGGGCCGCUGAAAUGCAGGCAAUCUAUGAAGUUUUUUGUUGUAAUGUCAGCAUAUUUGGUUUCUAUCAGGCAAUAUUUACCUAGCAAUUUUGCAAGGAAACCACGGUCCUUGUUUGAAUUCAGCACAUGGAAAGCUACAGAGCUUCGGCAAUUUUUACUUUACACUGGCCCUGUUGUUCUCCUCAAUAAUAUACCCAGUAGAAUGUACAGAAACUUUUUACUUCUGUCUGUAUCUAUGAGAAUUCUUCUGAGUCCUGCCUUAUGUUCUCCUGACAAUUGUGACUAUGCUGAGGAGAUUUUGAAACUCUUUGUAACAGAUUUUGCUGCAAUUUAUGGCACUGAAUUUGUCAGCUAUAACAUGCAUUCAUUGAUCCACCUAGCUCAAGAUGCACGAAAAUUCGGCCCGUUGGAUAGUGUUUCAGCUUUUCCCUUUGAGACAUUUUUAGGUAAACUGAAAAAACUUGUCCGUCGACCUCAAAACCCUGUCCAACAACUCGUCAGGCGGAUCCAUGAGAAACAGAAAGUGGCAAGCCAAAAGACCACAUCAGUUUUCAGCCCACUUAAACAGCUCCACUAUUUUGGACCAAUGAUUAAUUCAAUUGCAACAUGGGAACAAUACAGGCGUUACAAUGAUGGACAGACACUGAUCUCCUCCUCUCGUGGCGAUGACUGUUUUUCUGUAGGGGGAAGGAUUCUUAUUGUGCGGAACAUUUUGUCACAUUCUGGAACUGUUAAAGUCCUGUGUAAUUUCUUUGAAACUGCCAAAUCCUUUUUCACCUAUCCAAUGGACUCAUCACGUCUUGGAAUUCUUUUUGUUUUCAAUUUAUCUGAACAGUUGCAGCUGUUACCUGUGGAGGAGAUAAAAACAAAAAUGGUGUUGUUGCCAUUUAAGGCUGGAUAUGUGGCAUUACCACUCCUGCACUAGUGCGCUUUUUUUUUCUUCUUUUUUUUUUUUAAGUUACGAAUUUAUGUGUUUUUAUGUAUGUAUUUUGUUUUUCUUUAAGCAUGUUACCUUUCGCAAUUGUUGAAUUUAUAAAUGGUGGAGGAUUGGCAGUUAUACCGACCAAAUGGUUUAUCGGGCCUGAGGAGGAUGAAUGCUACUGGCCACCAGCAAGGAUGAACAUGGCAAAGGCGGUCAUAGAGCAACAGGACCCUCACACUGACUGGGCGACAUACAAGUUGACUGUCAAGAGAAAAAUUGCAACAUAUGAAAUUGCCCGAACAAAAUUAGUUGAGUAUGAACAGAACACAGAUGUACCAACUGAGUCCGAUUCUGCAGAGAAUAUGGGAAGGGGGAAGCGCAGAAAGAGGUGAGGCUAUUUGAAUCACUACUACUAAAUGGAUGAUGAAAAAUUGUGAUGGAUGAUGAUAAAUGGAUGGUGAAAAAUUUCCCAAUGACACAGGAAGGACAUGUUUUGUGGAAGUUUUGUUAAGUAUAUUUGUCUCAAAGCUGUCAAAACGAGGGAGGUAGACAACAGAUACACGAUUAACAAAUAAAUAAUAAAUAAAUGUAAUCAGUUAAUAAAAGUAACAAUCACAUGUUUUGGGGGGAAAAGAGAUGUAUACAAAUGGAUGUGUGCAUGCCUGAAGGGAGCAUGGGGUGUUGGAACAGAUGUUAAGGAUCAAUGUGAGGGUCUCUCUGGCAUCUAGAGUGUAGUCAUACUGUAUAUAGAUCAGUCAUGGAAAUUCUCUGGUGGAAAUAUGUACGAACCCUGUGUGUAGAGUCACCUGUUGUCCAAAAUGUAUACAUUUUUUUUUUUUUUUUAAACCAACUGUUUUGAAAAUACUUAAACUAGGGGUAGGCAAGUUCGGUCCUAGAGAGCCGCUGUCCUGCGGAGUUUAGCUCCAACCUUAAUCAAACACACCUGAACAAGCUAAUCAAGCUCUUCAGGAUUACUAAGGCUAUAGGCAGGUGA